GCGGGCGUGGCGGAACUGGUAGACGCAAGGGACUUAAAAUCCUUCCAGUACCAGUUCGAAUCUGGUCAUGGGCA
rnacentral:tRNA from 1 species